UCAAGCUACUAAGGGCGCACAGUGGAUGCCUUGGUAUCACGGGCCGAUGAAGGGCGUGGUAAGACUGCGAUAUGCCUCGGUCAGCCGUCUAACAGGCGUAGCCGGGGAUCCCCGAAUGAGGCAACUCACCUGGAGUAAUGUCCAGGUACCGCCGGCUCAACACAUAGGCCGGAUGGAGGGAACCCAGGGAACUGAACCAUCUAAGUACCUGGAGGAACAGAUAAUAUUCCGUCAGUAGCGGCGAGCGAACGCGGAAGAGCCUAAACCGUCGAUGACCUAACGGCCGGCAGGCCUAUGCAUCGAGCGGGGUUGUACGAGCUUGCAGCAAGCACUGCCGUGGUUGCAGGGAGUUACCAAGCACCGUCGUAACAGAAGGACCCUGGAAUGGGCCACCGUAGAGGGUGACAGUCCCGUACGUGGAACGAUGGGUGCCUCCCGCAGGAGUUCGUGAGUACCACGCAACACGUGGAAUUGCGUGGGAAUCUGGGCGGACCACCGUCUAAGGCUAAAUACCCGUGAUGACCGAUAGUGAACUAGUACCGUGAGGGAAAGGUGAAAAGCACCCCGAGAGGGGAAUGAAAGAGUCCCUGAAACUGUGUGCCUACAAGCAGUCGGAGCCCGCAAGGGUGACGGCGUGCCUAUUGAAGAAUGAGCCUACGAGUUACUCCUCAGUGGCGAGGUUAAGGCAGGCAGCUGCCGGAGCCGGAGCGAAAGCGAGUCUGAAUAGGGCGUUCAGUCGCUGGGGGUAGACCCGAAACCGGGUGAUCUAUCCAUGGCCAGGGUGAAGCGGGAGUGAUAUCUCGUGGAGGCCCGAACCUUCUAGAGUUACAAAUCUAUUGGAUGAGUUGUGGAUAGCGGUGAAAUGCCAAACGAACCCGGAGAUAGCUGGUUCUCCUCGAAAUGCAUUUAGGUGCAGCCUCGGAAAUUAUCCAUCGGAGGUAGAGCUCUGAAUGGGCUAGGGGGUUAAUCGCCUACCAAACCCAAUCAAACUGCGAAUGCCGGUGGAAGAAGUCCGGGAGUGAGUCCGUGGGAGCUAAGUUCCAUGGUCGAGAGGGAAACAACCCAGACCACCAGCUAAGGCCCCUCAGUGCUGGCUAAGUGUCAAAGGAUGUUGAGUUGCAUAAACAACCAGGAUGUUGGCUUAGAAGCAGCCACCAUUUAAAGAGUGCGUAAUAGCUCACUGGUCGAGUGACUCUGCGCCGACAAUGUACCGGGGCUCAAGCCAGCCGCCGAAGCUGUGGACUGUCCGCAAGGACAGUGGUAGAGGAGCGUUCUGUUCAGCUGUGAAGGUGUAGGGGUGACCCGUGCUGGAGCGAACAGAAGUGAGAAUGUAGGCAUGAGUAGCGCAAUGGCGGUGAGAAUCCGCCACACCGUAAACCUAAGGUUUCCUACGCAAGGUUUCUCCGCGUAGGGUUAGUCGGGCCUAAGCCGAGGGCGAACGCCGUAGGCGAUGGACAGCAGGUUAGUAUUCCUGCACCACGUAGUAUGUAUUGAUCUCAAGGCGUGACCCGUGAAGAUAGGCGGAGCGUGCCCAUUGGACAUGGCGCGUCCCUGGAGCGUAGGCGUCUCACCGUAGGAAAAUCCGCGGUGGGGUUAAGCGGAGGCUUUGGGGGAAGCAGCGACUUCGGUCAAAGCGAUUCUGUUGAGUCUAUGGCGGCAAGAAAAGCGUCGGAGGGAAUGUAUUACGUGCCCGUACCGCAAACCGACACUGGUAGGUGGGGGUAAGUACCCUGAGGUGAUCGAGAGAACCCUCGUUAAGGAACUAGGCAAGUUGGCUCCGUAACUUCGGGAGAAGGAGCACCCUUGAGCGUGACCGGACUUGCUCCGCAAGCGCCCGAGGGUCGCAGAGAGUCGGCUCAGGCGACUGUUUAUCAAAAACACAGGUCUCUGCUAACCCGUAAGGGGAUGUAUAGGGGCUGACGCCUGCCCAGUGCUGGAAGGUUAAGGGGAGGGCUUCACGGCCUGAACCGAAGCCCCAGUGAACGGCGGCCGUAACUAUAACGGUCCUAAGGUAGCGAAAUUCCUUGUCGGGUAAGUUCCGACCCGCACGAAUGGCGUAACGAUCUGAGCGCUGUCUCAACGAGGGACUCGGCGAAAUUGAAGUACCAGUGAAGAUGCUGGUUUCCCAUGCCAGGACAAAAAGACCCCGUGGAGCUUUACUGCAGCUUGGCACUGGAGGUGGGUCUUGAAUGCGUAGGAUAGGUGGGAGGCUAUGAAGCCGGGCUUUCGGGCUUGGUGGAGCCGUCCUUGAAAUACCACUCUUUCCUGAUUUACCUUCUAACUUCUGAACAAGCAGAAGGACAGUGCCUGGUGGGCAGUUUGACUGGGGCGGUCGCCUCCAAAAAAGUAUCGGAGGCGUACAAAGGUGCUCUCAGGGUGGAUGGAAAUCACCCGUUGCGUGCAUUGGCAUAAGAGUGCUUGACUGUAAGACCUACAAGUCGAACAGGGACGAAAGUCGGUCAAAGUGAUCCUACGGUUCCGAGUGGAAGGGCCGUGGCUUAACGGAUACAAGCUACCCCGGGGAUAACAGGCUUAUCUUGCCCAAGCGUUCAUAGCGACGGCAAGGUUUGGCACCUCGAUGUCGGCUCGUCGCAUCCUGGGGCUGAAGUAGGUCCCAAGGGUCCGGCUGUUCGCCGGUUAAAGCGGUACGCGAGCUGGGUUCAGAACGUCGUGAGACAGUUCGGUCUCUAUCCGGCAUGGGCGAAGGAGAUUUGCGAGGAGCUGCCCCUAGUACGAGAGGACCGGGGUGGACAGACCUCUGGUGUGUCGGUUGUUCCGCCAGGAGCACUGCCGAGUAGCCAAGUCUGGACGGGAUAAGCGCUGAAGGCAUCUAAGUGCGAAGCCCACCUCAAGAUUAGAUCUCCCACUGGGUUAACCAGGUAAGACCACGGGCAGAUUACCCGUUUGAUAGGCGGCAGGUGUACGCGCAGCAAUGCGUUUAGCUAAGCCGUACUAAUGGUCGAGGGCUUGACCUA
rnacentral:rRNA from 1 species